rnacentral:rRNA from 1 species
CCCUUAGAUGUCCUGGGCCGCACGCGUGCUACACUGAUGCAUACAGCGAGUACUCCCAGCUCCGAGAGGCUGCUGGUAAUCAGCAAUAUGCAUCGUGAUGGGGAUAGAUCUUUGGAAUUAUAGAUCUUGAACGAGGAAUUCCUAGUAAUCGCAGGUCAUCACCCUGCGUUGACUAAGUCCCUGCCCUUUGUACACACCGCCCGUCGCUCCUACCGAUUUCGAGUGAUCCGGUGAAUCAUUCGGACCGCGGCCCCUAGGCAUGCGGAAAGUCUAGUAAACCAUAUCACUGAGAGGAAGGAGAAGUCGUAACA